rnacentral:lncRNA from 1 species
CUUUGUACUUUCUACAGUGAAAGUUGCUACAGGAUCUCCCUUUCUCAAUAAAUUCAUCUGCGGUGGAGAAAAUCAGCAUGAGUACUACAGGCCAAGUCAUCAGAUGCAAAGCAGCCAUACUCUGGAAGCCUGGUGCACCAUUUUCUAUUGAAGAGGUAGAAGUGGCCCCACCAAAGGCAAAGGAAGUUCGCAUAAAGGUUGUGGCCACCGGACUGUGUGGUACAGAGAUGAAAGUGUUGGGGAGUAAACACUUGGACCUCUUGUAUCCCACCAUCUUGGGCCAUGAAGGGGCUGGAAUCGUUGAGAGUAUUGGAGAAGGAGUAAGCACAGUGAAACCAGGUGACAAAGUUAUCACACUCUUUCUGCCACAGUGUGGAGAAUGUACCUCUUGCCUGAAUUCUGAGGGCAAUUUUUGUAUACAAUUCAAGUGACUCCAGGUUCUACCUGUGCUGUGUUUGGCCUGGGAGGAGUCGGCUUGUCUGUUGUCAUGGGUUGUAAAGCAGCAGGAGCAGCCAGGAUCAUUGGAGUGGAUGUCAACAAGGAGAAAUUUAAGAAGGCACAGGAAUUGGGUGCUACUGAGUGCCUCAACCCUCAGGACUUAAAGAAACCCAUUCAAGAAGUUUUAUUUGAUAUGACAGAUGCUGGUAUAGACUUCUGCUUUGAGGCCAUUGGAAAUCUGGACGUUCUGGUAUGUAAUCCUCUGGAGUGAAAAUUACCAAUACUUUUACCAGUCAUCGUUUAGAUUAUAGUUGAAUGAGCUUUCUAAAAUUCCCUCCACUUUGCUCUAUUUAAUUUUCCUUGUGUUCCAUGACAUCUCAGCUGGUGCCGUCUGUGUACUCUUACAAAUUUGUUCACUAUCCCAGAUACUAAAUCUAGAACUUUCAUAUAAUUUCAAAGCCAGAAGUUUUAAGCAAGAUAAGAUUAAAAUUUGAUUAAUG